CUACGGAGGAUGCAAGCGUUAUCCGGAUUUAUUGGGUUUAAAGGGUGCGUAGGCGGAUGAUUAAGCGUGAGGUGAAAUGCCACUGCUCAACAGUGGAACUGCCUCGCGAACUGGUUGUCUUGAAUGCUCCUGCCGUGGGAGGAAUGUGUGGUGUAGCGGUGAAAUGCAUAGAGAUCACACAGAACACCGAUUGCGAAGGCAUCUCACGAAGGGGUGAUUGACGCUGAGUCACGAAAGCGUGGGGAUCAAACAGGAUUAGAUACCCUGGUAGUCCACGCAGUAAACGAUGAUAACUAACCGCUGGGUCGUAGUGAUUCAGUGGCCAAGCGAAAGCGAUAAGUUAUCCACCUGGGGAGUACGACCGCAAGGUUGAAACUCAAAGGAAUUGACGGGU
rnacentral:rRNA from 1 species